GAUGAACGCUGGCGGCGUGCCUAAUACAUGCAAGUCGAGCGAACAGAUAAGGAGCUUGCUCCUUUGACGUUAGCGGCGGACGGGUGAGUAACACGUGGGUAACCUACCUAUAAGACUGGGAUAACUUCGGGAAACCGGAGCUAAUACCGGAUAACAUUUGGAACCGCAUGGUUCUAAAGUGAAAGAUGGUUUUGCUAUCACUUAUAGAUGGACCCGCGCCGUAUUAGCUAGUUGGUAAGGUAACGGCUUACCAAGGCAACGAUACGUAGCCGACCUGAGAGGGUGAUCGGCCACACUGGAACUGAGACACGGUCCAGACUCCUACGGGAGGCAGCAGUAGGGAAUCUUCCGCAAUGGGCGAAAGCCUGACGGAGCAACGCCGCGUGAGUGAUGAAGGGUUUCGGCUCGUAAAACUCUGUUAUUAGGGAAGAACAAACGUGUAAGUAACUGUGCACGUCUUGACGGCACCUAAUCAGAAAGCCACGGCUAACUACGUG
rnacentral:rRNA from 1 species